rnacentral:rRNA from 1 species
GCUGAAGCAACAAAUGCCCUGCUUCCAGGAAAAGCCUCUAAGCAUCAGGUAACAUCAAAUCGUACCCCAAACCGACACAGGUGGUCAGGUAGAGAGUACCAAGGCGCUUGAGAGAACUCGGGUGAAGGAACUAGGCAAAAUGGUGCCGUAACUUCGGGAGAAGGCACGCUGAUAUGUAGGUGAAGCGACUUGCUCGUGGAGCUGAAAUCAGUCGAAGAUACCAGCUGGCUGCAACUGUUUAUUAAAAACACAGCACUGUGCAAACACGAAAGUGGACGUAUACGGUGUGACGCCUGCCCGGUGCCGGAAGGUUAAUUGAUGGGGUUAGCGCAAGCGAAGCUCUAGAUCGAAGCCCCGGUAAACGGCGGCCGUAACCAUAACGGUCCUAAGGUAGCGAAAUUCCUUGUCGGGUAAGUUCCGACCUGCACGAAUGGCGUAUUGAUGGCCAGGCUGUCUCCACCCGAGACUCAGUGAAAUUGAACUCGCUGUGAAGAUGCAGUGUACCCGCGGCAAGACGGAAAGACCCCGUGAACCUUUACUAUAGCUUGACACUGAACAUUGAGCCUUGAUGUGUAGGAUAGGUGGGAGGCUUUGAAGUGUGGACGCCAGUCUGCAUGGAGCCGACCUUGAAAUACCACCCUUUAAUGUUUGAUGUUCUAACGUUGACCCGUAAUCCGGGUUGCGGACAGUGUCUGGUGGGUAGUUUGACUGGGGCGGUCUCCUCCUAAAGAGUAACGGAGGAGCACGAAGGUUGGCUAAUCCUGGUCGGACAUCAGGAGGUUAGUGCAAUGGCAUAAGCCAGCUUGACUGCGAGCGUGACGGCGCGAGCAGGUGCGAAAGCAGGUCAUAGUGAUCCGGUGGUUCUGAAUGGAAGGGCCAUCGCUCAACGGAUAAAAGGUACUCCGGGGAUAACAGGCUGAUACCGCCCAAGAGUUCAUAUCGACGGCGGUGUUUGGCACCUCGAUGUCGGCUCAUCACAUCCUGGGGCUGAAGUAGGUCCCAAGGGUAUGGCUGUUCGCCAUUUAAAGUGGUACGCGAGCUGGGUUUAGAACGUCGUGAGACAGUUCGGUCCCUAUCUGCCGUGGGCGCUGGAGAACUGAGGGGGGCUGCUCCUAGUACGAGAGGACCGGAGUGGACGCAUCACUGGUGUUCGGGUUGUCAUGCCAAUGGCACUGCCCGGUAGCUAAAUGCGGAAGAGAUAAGUGCUGAAAGCAUCUAAGCACGAAACUUGCCCCGAGAUG